GACGAACGCUGGCGGCGUGCCUAAUACAUGCAAGUCGAGCGGAACUGGGGGAGCUUGCUCCUUCCAGUUUAGCGGCGGACGGGUGAGUAACACGUGGGCAACCUGCCCUGCAGAUCGGGAUAACUCCGGGAAACCGGUGCUAAUACCGAAUAGUUUGGCGCCUCUCCUGAGGCGCCACGGAAAGACGGUUUCGGCUGUCACUGCAGGAUGGGCCCGCGGCGCAUUAGCUAGUUGGUGGGGUAACGGCCCACCAAGGCGACGAUGCGUAGCCGGCCUGAGAGGGUGACCGGCCACACUGGGACUGGGACACGGCCCAGACUCCUACGGGAGGCAGCAGUAGGGAAUCUUCCGCAAUGGACGCAAGUCUGAUGGAGCAACGCCGCGUGAGUGACGAAGGUUUUCGGAUCGUAAAACUCUGUUGUGAGGGAAGAACACGUACCAACUAACUAUUGGUACCUUGACGGUACCUCACCAGAAAGCCACGGCUAACUACGUGCCAGCCGCCGCCGUAA
rnacentral:rRNA from 1 species